GAUGAACGCUGGCGGCGUGCCUAAUACAUGCAAGUCGAGCGAACGGACGAGAAGCUUGCUUCUCUGAUGUUAGCGGCGGACGGGUGAGUAACACGUGGAUAACCUACCUAUAAGACUGGGAUAACUUCGGGAAACCGGAGCUAAUACCGGAUAAUAUUUUGAACCGCAUGGUUCAAAAGUGAAAGACGGUCUUGCUGUCACUUAUAGAUGGAUCCGCGCUGCAUUAGCUAGUUGGUAAGGUAACGGCUUACCAAGGCAACGAUGCAUAGCCGACCUGAGAGGGGGAAUCGGCCACACGGAAAUGGGGACACGUUCCAGACUCUAACGGGAGGCAGCAGUGGGAAAUCUCCGGCAAGGGGCGAAGGCCGGAGGAAGCAACGCGGGGGGGUGGAGGAGGUCUUCCGAACGGAAAACUCUGUUAUUAGGGAAGAACAUAUGUGUAAGUAACUGUGCACAUCUUGACGGUACCUAAUCAGAAAGCCACGGCUAACUACGUG
rnacentral:rRNA from 1 species